CCUACGGGCGGCUGCAGUGGGGAAUAUUGGACAAUGGGCGAAAGCCUGAUCCAGCCAUGCCGCGUGUGUGAAGAAGGCCUUCGGGUUGUAAAGCACUUUCAGUGGGGAAGAAAGCCUUGGGGCUAAUACCCUCGAGGAAGGACAUCACCCACAGAAGAAGCACCGGCUAACUCCGUGCCAGCAGCCGCGGUAAUACGGAGGGUGCGAGCGUUAAUCGGAAUUACUGGGCGUAAAGCGCGCGUAGGCGGUCUGAUAAGCCGGUUGUGAAAGCCCCGGGCUCAACCUGGGAACGGCAUCCGGAACUGUCAGGCUAGAGUGCAGGAGAGGAAGGUAGAAUUCCCGGUGUAGCGGUGAAAUGCGUAGAGAUCGGGAGGAAUACCAGUGGCGAAGGCGGCCUGCUGGACUGAAACUGACGCUGAGGUGCGAAAGCGUGGGUAGCAAACAGGAUUAGAUACCCCAGUAGUC
rnacentral:rRNA from 1 species